GUUACACAUUAGAAUAUAAAAGACUUCGCUAUAUUGAGGAAGCUAUCAAAUUCGUUGAGUAACUCACUUCAUCAACACUGGUGAAAGAGACAUUUUCGCGGUCGACAUGAAGUGUUUUUAUAAUCCAAUAUUCAUUGCAUUUUGCACUGUCGUUUUGAUGACAGGAUGGGCGAUAGCGAUCGAUCCAUGUGCAAUUGUGCGCUGCGCUGCUGGUACCGUAUGUGUAGCUGACAAAAGUAAAGCAAGAUGCGUGCCAGCACCAUGCAACUCCGAUAAAGAAUGCCCCGAUAAUCAAGCUUGCACUUCGGUGUUAUCGCACAAUGAGAAGAAAAAAACCUGCACUGAUCCAUGUGUAUUAAUUGAUUGCCCUGCUGAUACCAAUUGCAUGGUUACCGCUCAUCAAGCAAAUUGCACAAAAACGCCGAUCAAUCCAUGUGCACUUGUGCUCUGCGUUACUGGUACCGUAUGUGUAGUUGUCAAAGGUAAAGCAAGAUGCGACCCCCAAUAAAGAAUGACCCGAUAAUCAUUUUGGCAUCAAACAGAAUCAGAAUGUGUCACUUUAAUUUUUGUAUGUGUGGAAUAGCUUUGUGGUCUGGGUUUAAAGUCAAAUAAAGAAAGAAAGAAUGGAAGGAACUUGUUUUUAUCUUAUCCUUUUUGUUUGCCUUUUUUGUUCAUUUUCUCCGAAAUAAUUUGUAUAUUUUGACGAUUUUUUUUAGUAAAAUCGACUUUAUUUCGACCGAAACGAUGUUUCUUUUUCAACCAUUUUCAGAACCAAAAUGUCUCAUCAACUGAAGCUAAUUUUGGUCUUGCUUAGAGAAUUAACGCAUUUUAAAUCAAAAUACACAGAGAAAAAAACUGUUUGCACCAAACGAGUAAGAUAAUAGAAAGCAAAAAAAUGUGAGGAAAGGAAAUUUGAUUAGAUUUAGAACAUAUGACAUGAGCUAUGCCCAUAAUAAACAGCCGUUUGUUGUUCUCUACACGAACAAAGUGCUAUGAAAAGAGUUUUCAUUGAAAUAUUGGUUAAAUACUAAGCGGGAGGUAAACCAAAUUGCCGCGGAGCGGAAAAGUUUGGAUUACGUAUGUAAUUCGUUUUAUUUAGAAUUCGUAUCGAGACAAUGAGCGUAAUGUUAUUAAUUCAGACAAUCGUGUACCAUUUGAAGAACAAAAUGUAUCGAUCAAUACACCAUCAACACAAGAGGUUGCCGCAGUUUGCCACUUGCUGGUGGAUAGAUCACUACCUGAUCUCACCAGAUCUCACUGUUUGUAUACAUUGUAAAAUGGAUUGUAUGAGAAAUAUUCAGUCGGUGAAAUGAAUAAUGAUGUAUAAUCAGUAUUCAGUUGCCAUCUCAUGUGUGAAAGGAAUGAGUAUAUUAUUUGUUCAGUUGGUUAAAUGAAAUGACUUUUUUCUUUUCGAAUCGGCCAGCAAUUUUGUGAAGUGUACAUUACAGUCAGAUUCACACGUUAACCCUUAGACUCAAACAAAUUUCAACUGAGGCGUUUGUGAACUCAUGAGUUUUAUAUAAAUGACCAUGUGAAUUUGAAGUAAAUUUGGUUGAAAACGGUUUGGAUGAUUGGAUAUGCAAACGCUGGAUGUGAACUAGUGGACUGUCCUGCUGAUACUGAUUAUAUAGAAUUGGAAGAUGGUGAAGGGAUAUGCGUGCCUACAUGCAAAACAAAUAAAAAUUGUGGCAAAAAUGGAUUUUGCUUGAAAAACAAAAAUGGACUAUAUAAAAGUUGCUAUUAUCCAUGUAUGGAUAUAUUGUGUAUUGCAGAAGCCGAAUGUGUUGUUACCGGUAAAACUGGAUAUUGCAAACUGGACCAUAGUUAUUAUCAUUAGAUAAAGAAUCAAACCGCCAAUCAACAAUAAAACAAUAAUAUACAAUUUAAAACUAGGACUUGAAACCUUGAAAGUGUUAUUUGAAAAUUAUACACAAUAAUUUCUUUCCAAAAAACGUGCGAAGACUUCGUACCAUUUAUGCUUUUUUAAAGUUAACACUAAAUAGUGGAACAGCCAUGCUUAUUUACUUGGUAAUUGCAAUCAAUCAUCUGUGAUCUGUGUCUACUGCUUGAAUACAUCAAAAGCACAAUGGUAUACAUUUUUAGCAGAAUUUUUGAAUUAUUCUUUUUAGCUUAGUAUCAAUACUGCAUUAUCUCUUAAGACAAUUAAAAUACAUGAUUAUUCAAAAAUAUUAAUUUCAGAUCAUUUCUAUGAGAAAACUUCGAAAAUAAUUUUUUAAAUUUAUUUUUUAUGAAUAUGUAUUGUUUUUUGAUUGCAAGCAAAACUGUCAGUAGCAUCAGCUACAUUGUAAAUAAUAAUUUAUAUUUACACACUCUGCUGCGCACAGAUCACGCAUUUUGCGUCAAGAGAGAAGAGAAAAAAGUACUAUAUAUUAAAGACGAAAGCUCAUUCUACGCCCACAGUGUUCAAAAUAACCUGUAAAUUGGUUUCAUCACAAUGCAUUCUAUCUGCGACUGUCAAUUUUAUGUAGGUGUAGAAUUUAUCUUAACGACAGCUAUGUGGUUCGAUUUGGAUGAUGAUCCAAGUCGAAUAAAGAAUCAAGAAACAAU